rnacentral:lncRNA from 1 species
AGAGCGAAUGUUUCUUGUAGCUAGACAUGCCUCGUCGUCGACUGAUCCGGUGCGUCCUGGGAGCGACAACUUUGAUAUAGCUAAUGGACAUGGUCAUGUCCUUAUCAAGUCUACAUCUGAUCUUCAGGUAUGAUGGUGAGUCCCUCGGUCUAUUUUUCGCGUUGCAUCACCGAAUAAUCAAGAUGGACCGGACCUUUGUUGAGCAUAAAGCUGAAAUAUGCUUUAGUUGCCUUGAAUGUAUUUUCAACGGAUAGUAUAGUAUUAUUUCAAUUCUCAGUAGGGAGCUCCAUUUGAACUGCUUGCAGAUACAGUUAUGUUGAUGUCUCAGCUACAACUUUAUACGAUUUGUAUCUCUUUGCAGAAAGCUGUAUCUUCUUGUUUCGGGAAAGCAUUGGUGACCAGCAGUGCUGUCAUGCUUGUGAUGCCGCCCAGUUGCUUGGCAGAAGAAUGCGACCCGGGGUACUCUCUUCCUAACAUGCCGCUGUUGUUUGCGAUAGCCAUGGUCGGUGCUACUGUUGGAGGUAAUAUCACAUUGUCAAGGAUCUUAGCACGUAGGAAAUUGUUUGUGGCUAGCAAACUAGCUUUAAGUUUCAGCCCAACACUACACAAUUGAUUUUCCUUAUAUUAUUUUUUUAAUACUUCAUCAACAUCUUGAGCAGUUAUGAAUAUCAAACAUUAAAAAAUAUGCAAUUUUUUUGAACUGCUGACAACUUCUGGGAGACGGUAGAAAUCUAAUCUACAGCCUUAUAAAGCUUAUUUUUUUUCUCCAAAAGCGCCCCAAAGUGUGUGUCAUAUUGUAUUAGAAGGAAAGCGCCAAGAAGGCACAAAGUACAACUCAACGAAACCAGAGACAUUGUGCAAGUACAACUCGAGAAAACCAAAGACAAACAAACAUUCACGUUUGUCUUUUUGCUUGCUAUUUAUUAGUACAUGAAAAACAGUGUAUGUAUCCUUAAAGACCUGAAUUCUUUCAGCUUGUUCAAGCAUGUUGCGGUUAGCUUUUGCCUAUAUGACUAUUUCUGCCAAUGACUGUUUCUUUUGUGAUGGCCGUUUUCCAUCAUGCUCUUGUUUGUAGAGAAAAUGACAUAUGCAGUAGUUACUACUUCAUACUGCUUAGUUACCCUUGGUUAUUCUGUAAGUUCUGUAAUAUGUUUGUCUCUCUGGAGGUGCAACAUUUUCCUACUUUAGAUUGAACAAUUCAGAAACCCUGUAGGGCUCCUUGCGAGACAAAGGAAAGGGGAACUUAAAAAGCUUAACGAUCAGCUACGACAGAUAAAUGCUUCACUGAGAAGACAAGCCAAGAUAGAAUCCUAUGCUCCUGCUUUGAGCUAUGCACCGGCUGCUAGUAAGAUACCAGAAUCAGAAGUCAUUGUUGAUCCUCACAAACAGCGCCUGCUCACAUAUCUGAGGACUGGGAAGAACUACCUGAGAAACCAAGCUCCAGACAAGGCAUUUUCCGAGUUUAAGGCAGCUCUUGAUCUUGCACAAUCUUUGGGUGAUCAUGUUGAAGAGAAGAAGGCGGCACGAGGAUUAGGUCCGUCAUUGUUUGGCAUGAAUUUCAUUUAUCAUUUGCUUGUACGCACAUUUGAAACUGAUCGUGCUUUGAUGCGUACUUCGUUGCCUAGAGAGCUCAGCAGAAUUUGCGCCCCUCCUGAACAUGCCAAUGAUAGUUUGAACAUGAUAAUGUAAAUACAAUUUCACCAUAACAAACUGAAUCGUAUAAACAGAGUAGCAGUACUAAUUGCAAGCAUUGUGGUGCCCAUUUUUAUUUACUUUUUGUGAAAUCCAACUGACGGAAGUCCUUUGCGUUCAUCAGGAGCAUCAUUGCAAAGACAAGGAAAUUACAAGGAAGCAAUAAAGUACCACUCCAUGGUUCUCAGCAUCUCCAAGAUGACUGGAGAGGAUUCUGGUGUCACUGAGGCAUAUGGGGCAAUAGCCGAUUGCUACACCGAAGUUGGUGAGCUCGAGAAGGCAGGCAAGUUCUACGAUGAGUACAUUGCAAGAUUGGAGAAUGACUGAAAAUGUGUGUGUGUGCGCGCGCUACCUGUGAGAAUGCAAACACCGCUAAACUUUUUGUUCUUCACUAGUCAUAUGAUGUCUUGUAGAUGUGCAGUUCCUGGCAACAAAAAAGACUGGUUUAUUAUAUCUUCUAAGUUGUUUCCCCUGAAUUAUGUGAGAUCAUUUGGGUCAGUAGCAUGCUGUGUAGUUAUUUUGGUAGUAAUAGCUUACUGUAAGUACAAAUGAAAUCCAGCUUUCCGACUUGAAAAUUUUAAAGAAAUACCUCAACCUAUCACUGCCUGUCCUGAAUUUGUU